rnacentral:rRNA from 1 species
GAUUUCCUAGUAACGGCGAGCGAACCGGAAAGAGCCCAGCUUGAAAAUCGCGGCGCUGCGCGCCGCGAGUUGUAGUCUGGAGAAGCAUCCUCUGCAGCGCACCGGACCCAAGUUCCCUGGAAAGGGACGUCAGAGAGGGUGACAACCCCGUCGAGUCCGGACCCCGUGCUGCUCCACGAGGUGCUGUCGUCGAGUCGAGCUGUUUGGGAAUGCAGCUCUAAGUGGGUGGUAAAUUCCAUCCAAGGCUAAAUAUUGGCAGGAGACCGAUAGCGAACAAGUACCGCGAGGGAAAGAUGAAAAGGACUUUGAAAAGAGAGUUAAAGAGUGCUUGAAAUUGCUGGGAGGGAAGCGAAUGGAAGCUGCGGGUGUGCCCCGGUUGGAUGUGGAACGGCCCUCGGGCUGGUCCGCCGCUCAACGCGGGGCACUGGUCAGCGUGGGCCAUCGCGGCGGGACAAGAGCGGGGUGUAGUUCCCCGCCUAUGCCGUUGUGGUGGCCGAGGAACGAAGCGUGCGCCCCCACCUGGGGGCGUGGACCCUGUGUCCAACUGCACGCUCGGGACGCUGGCGUAUUGAGCUCUUCAUCCGACCCGUCUUGAAACACGGACCAAGGAGUCUAACAUGUAUGCGAGCCGGUGGGCGGCAAACCCAUUGAGGCGCAAGUAAACUGACAGGUGGGACCCCUCUAUACAAGGGAGCACCAUCGACCGACCGUGAUCUUCUGUGAAAGGUUUGAGUGUGAGCAUACCUGUUGGGACCCGAAAGAUGGUGAACUAUGCCUGAGCAGGGCGAAGCCAGAGGAAACUCUGGUGGAGGCUCGUAGCGAUACUGACGUGCAAAUCGUUCGUCAGACUUGGGUAUAGGGGCGAAAGACUAAUCGAACCAUCUAGUAGCUGGUUCCCUCCGAAGUUUCCCUCAGGAUAGCUGGAGCUCGUGUGACAGUUUUAUCAGGUAAAGCGAAUGAUUAGAGGCAUCGGGGGUGUAACACCCUCGACCUAUUCUCAAACUUUAAAUAGGUAAGCCGCCGGGGUUGCUUGGUGAACCCCGCACAGACAC